rnacentral:tRNA from 1 species
CCCCUGGUGGUCUAGUGGUUAGGAUGCAGCGCUCUCACUGCCAUGGCCUGGGUUCGAUUCCCGGUCAGGGAA